rnacentral:misc_RNA from 1 species
CACUUCAAGUUGCAUUGUUGAAUCCUGAAGUGCCUUUUGUUCUUUACAUUCUUGUUUUUCAAUUGCUUAGGGCUUUGGUUGGACCUCUUGUUGACAAUAUUGUUUUUGUUGGGAUAAAGUCUAUUCAUAAUCCAAAGGUAGAAAUUCUUGUUCCAAUAAGUAGUUCAUGAUGAACCACGUACGAACUGGUGUCCUUUUUUCUCUUGCUCUCCUAGAUUGCGAUCGUUCCCACCAAGCGGAAGCACUUUCUUUCAACCGACAAACCACCAAUUUGACUCUUUUUUCAAGGGCUAUGUCCAUAUGAUCAAAGAAUUGAUCCAUCUUUGUGAUCCAAUCUAAAAAUUCUUCUAUGUUGAGAUCCCUAUAAAAAUAAGGAAUAUCAAGUUUCAAUCAAUUUGCCUUUUCAAGAUUCCAAUACGCGCCUCUUCUCUUAUAACAUUGUUGAUGCCUAUUGAACUUGAUUGAUUCAUAGUCAUCUUUCUCCUCCAGAUUAUCAUAGUAGAUAUAUUGCCUAUGUGCAGAAAUUGGUCGAUAAUUAUGGUCACCAUGAGCUACACUAUCUCCUAGCCUUCUAUUGUCAACCCAAUUCCUGUUUGUUUUAGUUCCUAAAGCACCAAGACGAUCUACAAUUUCUUUGAGGCGUCUCUUGAUCACUUGAAUCUGAGAUCCAUCCAUUGCUUCCAUAGUUGCAAAGUUUUGUUCUUAAGGUAAAGAACUCUAGUUCCUCGAUCACCAUCACAAGAACCACUGUAAUUGCCACCUCCAUCAAGGUAAGCCAUAUCGAUUGAGAUGAUUUUCCCACUCUGAUGCCACUUGACACAGCGUGAAACUCAAAUAGAAACGCACUCUAUGUACAAGAGUGAAAAUAAGGAGAGAAACCUUUGUUGGAUUUUUAUUGAUCACAAUCUAUUCUUCAAAUACAUAAAAUAUUAGGUAUUUAUAGAUAUUAAUCUCCUAAACCUAAUAGGAAUGUAAAACUACUAAAUAAGAAUUUUAGAUAAACUAAAAUCAGUGUUAUCAAAGGUGUGCGAGGCGCUCCUCUUCCGCCUUGAUUGGGUCGCCUCUCUUGGCACUAUGAUAGGCAACGCCUCAGGCCAGUGAGGCGAGGCUCUAGGCAGGUGAGAGGCGUCGCCUCUUUCAACAGAGCAGAACCCUUUUUUUGUUAAGACAAAAAUAUAAAACCCUAAAGACUUACCUAUUGCCAACAAAAAAAAAAAGAGCUGCAUCAACUCUAGGAGCUACAUUGAGUCUUUCCAGUCCAGGUAUCUCUCUCUCUCUCUCUC